rnacentral:rRNA from 1 species
GACGAACGCUGGCGGCGUGCCUAAUACAUGCAAGUCGAGCGGAAGUUGGAGAGCUUGCUCUUCAACUUUAGCGGCGGACGGGUGAGUAACACGUGGGCAACCUGCCCUGCAGAUCGGGAUAACUCCGGGAAACCGGUGCUAAUACCGAAUAGUUUUCGCCACCUCCUGGUGGCGUACGGAAAGUCGGUUUCGGCUGUCACUGCAGGAUGGGCCCGCGGCGCAUUAGCUAGUUGGUGGGGUAACGGCCCACCAAGGCGACGAUGCGUAGCCGACCUGAGAGGGUGAUCGGCCACACUGGACUGAGACACGGCCCAGACUCCUACGGGAGGCAGCAGUAGGGAAUCUUCCGCAAUGGACGAAAGUCUGACGGAGCAACGCCGCGUGAGUGACGAAGGUUUUCGGAUCGUAAAACUCUGUUGUGAGGGAAGAACAAGUACCACUUAACUACUGGUACCUUGACGGUACCUCACCAGAAAGCCACGGCUAACUACGUGCCAGCCGCCGCAGUAAAAC